rnacentral:SRP_RNA from 1 species
GCUGGGUGUCGUGGCGCACACCUGUAAUCCCAGCACUUGGGAGGCUGAGGCAGGAGGAUCGCUAGGAGUUCAAGACCAGCCUGAGCUACAUAGUGAGUUCAGGUCAGCCUGAACUACAUAGUGAGAACCUGUCUCAA